UAAAAACGUAUAAAACUUAUCUGAACUUUAGAUCAUUUUAAAUCGAAUAUCCAAUCUUUUAAAAUUUUGAUUUUACUAUUCAAUAUGUCAAUUUGUUUGAUUUGAAUUAGUCAAUAGUACUUUAAUUUCAAACUUUAAAUAACUAUUUUAAUGAAUUUAUAAUUGCGAGAACUGCAUGAAUAUUUGAAAAUUUGAGUAGUAAAUAAGAAUUUUGAAAAUUUUUUUUUUUUUUAGAGAAAGAUAGCAUGCUACCCGCUUCGUUUAUUUUUUUUAGAAAUAAACUUAGCUGGAACUGUGAAUCAAAUAGGAUUCGAACUUGAGAUCUCGAGUACCAACCAUUAAAUCCUUUGCCACUUGCACUAGGGACGGUGUAGUGUUUCUGAGCUUUGGAUAGGAUUAGCUUCAGUGUUAGUGACUGGUCGACACAUCUGGAGAGUGUCGAAAUGAGUCGGAGUCGUUUCUGUGCGAAAUGGAUGCAGAAAUGGACUCGGCGCACUCAAAUAAGCAAAACUGAAGUUUUGCCAGAUUCGGGCGCCCAGAACUGGCCUUGGGUCGCUCAAAAGUUGAGUGCAGAACUGAGCAGAACUGG
rnacentral:lncRNA from 1 species